rnacentral:rRNA from 1 species
UAUUUGGAGAGUUUGAUCCUGGCUCAGAUUGAACGCUGGCGGCAUGCCUAACACAUGCAAGUCGCACGCGAAAGGGGGCAACCCUGAGUAGAGUGGCGGACGGGUGAGUAACGCGUAGGAAUAUACCUGGUAGUGGGGGACAACCCGGUGAAAACCGGGCUAAUACCGCAUACGAUCCACGGAUGAAAGCAGGGGACCGCAAGGCCUUGCGCUAUCAGAUUAGCCUGCGUCGGAUUAGCUAGUUGGUGAGGUAACGGCUCACCAAGGCGACGAUCCGUAGCUGGUUUGAGAGAACGACCAGCCACACCGGAACUGAGACACGGUCCGGACUCCUACGGGAGGCAGCAGUGGGGAAUAUUGGACAAUGGGGGCAACCCUGAUCCAGCAAUGCCGCGUG